rnacentral:lncRNA from 7 species
CUGGUCCCCUCCCUGGCCCCUUACUGGUGUGACCUGUCACUCCCAGUCCCUUACUGGUGUGACCAGUCCCUCCCAGUCCCAUACUGGUCCCCUCCCAGUCCCAUACUGGUCCCUUACUGUUGUGACCAGUCCCUCCCAGUCCCUUACUGGUGUGGACCAGUUCCCUCCCAGUUCCCAUUACUGGUCCCCCUCCCAGUGCCCGUACUGGCCCCUUACUGGUGUGACCAGUCCCUCCCAGUCCCUUACUGGUCCCCUCCCAGUCCCUUACUGGUGUGCCAGGUGCCUCCCAGUCCCAUACUGGUCCCUUACUGGUGUGCCGGGUGCCUCCCAGUCCCAUACUGGUCCCUUACUGGUGUGAUCGGUCCCUCCCAGUCCCUUACUGGUGUGACCAGUCCCUCCCAGUCCCUUAUGCGUCCCCUCCCAGUCCCUACUGGGUCCCUUACUGGUGUGACCAGUCCCUCCAGUCCCGUACUGGCCCCUUACUGGUGUGACCAGUCCCUCCCAGUCCCUUACUGGUCCCCUCCCAGUCCCUUACUGGUGUGCCAGGUGCCUCCCAGUCCCAUACUGGUCCCUUACUGGUGUGCCGGGUGCCUCCCAGUCCCAUACUGGUCCUUACUUGGUGUGAUCGGUCCCUCCCCAGUCCCUACUUGUGUGACUGAUCCCUCACUGGUCCCUCCCAGUCCCUUACUGGUGUGACCGGUCCCUUACUGGUGUGACCAGUCCCUCCCUGACCCCUUACUGGUGUGACUGGUCCCUCACUGGUCCCUCCCUGGCCCCUUACUGGUGUGACCAGUCCCUUACUGGUGUGACUGGUCCCUUACUGGUCCCUUACCGGUGUGACCGGUCCCUUCCCAGUCCCUUACUGGUGUGACCAGUCCCUCCCAGUCCCAUACUGGUCCCCUCCCAGUCCCUUACUGGUCCCCUCCCAGUCCCAUACUGGUCCCUUACUGGUGUGACCAGUCCCUCCCAGUCCCUUACUGGUCCCCUCCCAGUCCCUUACUGGUGUGCCCGGUCCCUCCCAGUCCCUUACUGGUCCCCUCCCAGUCCCUUACUGGUGUGACUGGUCCCUUACUGUUGUGACCAGUCCCUCCCAGUCCCAUACUGGUCCCCUCCCAGUCCCAUACUGUUGUGACCAGUCCCUCCCAGUCCCUUACUGGUCCCCUCCCAGUCCCAUACUGGUCCCUUACUGGUGUGACCAGUCCCUCCCAGUCCCUUACUGGUCCCCUCCCAGUCCCAUACUGGUCCCUUACUGGUGUGACCAGUCCCUCCAGUCCCGUACUGGCCCCUUACUGGUGUGACCAGUCCCUCCCAGUCCCUUACUGGUCCCCUCCCAGUCCCUUACUGGUGUGCCAGGUGCCUCCCAGUCCCAUACUGGUCCCUUACUGGUGUGCCGGGUGCCUCCCAGUCCCAUACUGGUCCCUUACUGGUGUGAUCGGUCCCUCCCAGUCCCUACUGUGUGACUGGUCCUUCACUGGUCCCUCCCAGUCCCUUACUGGUGUGACCGGUCCCUUACUGGUGUGACCAGUCCCUCCCUGACCCCUUACUGGUGUGACUGGUCCCUCACUGGUCCCUCCCUGGCCCCUUACUGGUGUGACCAGUCCCUUACUGGUGUGACUGGUCCCUUACUGGUCCCUUACCGGUGUGACCGGUCCCUUCCCAGUCCCUUACUGGUGUGACCAGUCCCUCCCAGUCCCAUACUGGUCCCCUCCCAGUCCCAUACUGGCCCCUUACUGGUGUGACCAGUCCUCCCAGUCCCAUACUGGCCCCUACUGGUGUGACCAGUCCCUCCCAGUCCCUUACUGGUCCCCUCCCAGUCCCAUACUGGUCCCUUACUGUUGUGACCAGUCCCUCCCAGUCCCAUACUGGUCCCUUACUGGUGUGACCAGUCCCUCCCAGUCCCUUACUGGCCCCUUACUGUUGUGACCAGUCCCUCCCAGUCCCAUACUGGUCCCCUCCCAGUCCCAUACUGUUGUGACCAGUCCCUCCCAGUCCCUUACUGGUCCCCUCCCAGUCCCAUACUGGUCCCUUACUGGUGUGACCAGUCCCUCCCAGUCCCUUACUGGUCCCCUCCCAGUCCCAUACUGGUCCCUUACUGGUGUGACCAGUCCCUCCAGUCCCGUACUGGCCCCUUACUGGUGUGACCAGUCCCUCCCAGUCCCUUACUGGUCCCCUCCCAGUCCCUUACUGGUGUGCCAGGUGCCUCCCAGUCCCAUACUGGUCCCUUACUGGUGUGCCGGGUGCCUCCCAGUCCCAUACUGGUCCCUUACUGGUGUGAUCGGUCCCUCCCAGUCCCUUACUGGUGUGACUGAUCCCUCACUGGUCCCUCCCAGUCCCUUACUGGUGUGACCGGUCCCUUACUGGUGUGACCAGUCCCUCCCUGACCCCUUACUGGUGUGACUGGUCCCUCCAGGUCCCUCCUGCCCCUUACUGGUGUGUGACCAGUCCCUUACUGGUGUGACUGGUCCCUUACUGGUCCCUUACCGGUGUGACCGGUCCCUUCCCAGUCCCUUACUGGUGUGACCAGUCCCUCCCAGUCCCAUACUGGUCCCCUCCCAGUCCCUUACUGGUGUGACCAGUCCCUCCCAGUCCCUUACUGGUCCCCUCCCAGUCCCUUACUGGUGUGACCAGUCCCUCCCAGUCCCAUACUGGUCCCCUCCCAGUCCCAUACUGGUCCCUUACUGGUGUGACCAGUCCCUCCCAGUGCCGUACUGGCCCCUUACUGUUGUGACCAGUCCCUCCCAGUGCCGUACUGGUCCCCUCCCAGUGCCGUACUGGCCCCUUACUGUUGUGACCAGUCCCUCCCAGUCCCUUACUGGUCCCCUCCCAGUCCCUUACUGGUGUGACCGGUCCCUUACUGGUGUGACCAGUCCCUCCCAGUCCCUUACUGGUCCCCUCCCAGUCCCUUACUGGUGUGACCGGUCCCUUACUGUUGUGACCAGUCCCUCCCAGUCCCGUACUGGUCCCCUCCCAGUGCCGUACUGGUCCCUUACUGUUGUGACCAGUCCCUCCCAGUCCCUUACUGGCCCCUUACUGUUGUGACCAGUCCCUCCCAGUCCCAUACUGGUCCCCUCCCAGUCCCAUACUGUUGUGACCAGUCCCUCCCAGUCCCUUACUGGUCCCCUCCCAGUCCCUUACUGGUGUGACCAGUCCCUUACUGGUGUGACCAGUCCCUCCCAGUGCCGUACUGGCCCCUUACUGGUGUGCCGCUGCGCAGGCCGCCAUGCCCGCCCCCGCGGAGCUGUCGGAGUUCGGAGCGGCGGCGCCGUUCCUGCGGAGGUCGGAGCAGGAGCGCCUGGCGGCGCAGACGCGGCCGUUCGAUCUGAAGCGCGACAUCUUCGUCCCCGACGAGCGCGAGGAGUUCGUCAAAGCCACCAUCGUGUCCCGCGACGGACCCACAGUCACCGCGCACACCGAGCACGGCAAGGUCAGCCGGCAGCGCGACCGACACCGCCCCGGCCCCAAACCGUCCCAAUGGGACCGAAUCCGACCCUAAAUGAUCCAGUGGGACCAAAACCGACCAUCAAUGGUCCCAAUGGGACCAAAUCCGACCCCAAACCGUCCCAAUGGGACCAAAUCCGACCAUCAGUGGUCCCAAUGGGACCAAAUCCGACCCCAAACCGUCCCAGUGGGAUCAAAUCCGACCCUAAAUGGUCCCAGUGGGAGCAAAUCCAACACCAAAUGGCCUGAAUGGGACCAAAUCCAACCCUAAAUGGUCCCAAUGGGACCAAAUCUGCUCCUAAAUGGUCCAAAUGGGACCAAAUCCAACCCCAAAUGGUCUGAAUGGGACCAAAUCCGACCCUAAAUGGUCCCAAUGGG